rnacentral:rRNA from 1 species
ACGGAGGAUGCGAGCGUUAUCCGGAUUUAUUGGGUUUAAAGGGUGCGUAGGCGGAGUGUCAAGUCAGCGGUAAAAUUUCGGGGCUCAACCCCGUCGUGCCGUUGAAACUGACGCCCUUGAGUGAGUGAGAAGUAAGCGGAAUGCGUGGUGUAGCGGUGAAAUGCAUAGAUAUCACGCAGAACGCCGAUUGCGAAGGCAGCUUACCGGCGCUCAACUGACGCUGAGGCACGAAAGUGCGGGUAUCG